ACUCCUGACCUCAAGUGAUCCACCCACUUCAGCCUUCCAAAGUGCUGGGAUUACAGGUGUGAGCCACCACGCCCUGCCUCAAACAUCCUUCUUUACUAAUCAGACUGUGAGGAAACAGACUGUGCACCAGCUUCGGGCAGCAGAGGUGGAGAUCAAAGAUCUGCAGUCCGAGUUUCAGCUGGAGAAGAUCGAUUACUUGGCCACCAUCCGCCGGCAGGAGCGUGACUCCAUGCUCUUGCAGCAGCUCCUGGAGCAGGUGCAGCCCCUGAUUCGCAGGGACUGUAACUACAGCAACCUGGAGAAGAUUCUGC
rnacentral:sRNA from 1 species